GUUAUUUAACGAACGAAAAUAUGUUUUAGCAUGAAGCGAUACUGAACGAGAUGUGAUGAGAAUAAUUUACAUAUCGUUGAAGAUUGACAGUGUAUGUUAAACUUUAAUUUCCAAUAGUCAUAAAUUAUAAAUGGGAAUACAUACAAAAAGAUGUUUUGUUUCAUAUAUGCCCUCCCACCAGCCAAUGAAAACAUCACAUGUAAGGAUCUUAUGAAAUAUACUAGUAGCUCUAUAUCGUGGAGAUAAAGUUAUAGUAAAGGAAAAGUUGUCUUAGGUACAAGAUAAAAUUUCUCGGAAAUUGAUGAUGGCGUUUAUUUAUUUGUGUCUUACUGUUUUGAUUUUCUGUGCGCCAGGAGUAAGGACUGGACCAAAUUCUGGAGCAAAUUUUAUUGGUGGUGAGGAGCUUUCAGCCGUUCCUGGAAUAUUAAAGACACUGACAUCACCAAAUUUCAUUCAAGAUUUGCAAAAUUACCCUCCUGAUAACAAAUUGUACUUGGAUAGUUAGGUCUGUGGCACCAUGGAAUGUAGUUAUCAAAUUUGAAUUCUUUGCAGUAGAAAGGGACUUUAACAUGUGACAGCUGGGACUGGGUCACAAUUGAUAACGGUGAGUUUAUCGGACAAGGCGAUUUGGGGAGAUUUUGUGGAGACAAUUUCUGUUCUGGAAACCAACCUGGCUUUUAUCCGACUGGCGAAAUUGUAAGCGACGGGAGCGUCGUGACUAUCAAUUUUUGCAGUGACUUUUUAAUUGAAAGACCUGGCUUCUUGUUAACGUACACAAGCACCAACUAAGUGACCAGACGAUAUACAAAAAGAAAGUAAUGGCAACAAUACGAAUAUGAAUACGACUUCGAAUUCAGCUCUUAAUAUGAACGAACAUGUAUAUGCUACUUAAUGUAGAAUGAAUGUGUAAAACACCUUAAUAAAGAAUAAUUGCAUCAUGUUUGUUGCCUUUGUACUAUUG
rnacentral:lncRNA from 1 species